rnacentral:ncRNA from 2 species
GAUCAAGAAGUUCGGCUAUCAGGCCCUCAGCUCACGCCGACUGGCAACCGCGAAUCGCUCACGGUGCCCCUGAGGGAAGAUCGGCUGCGCGGUCAUCCGACCGGGCGGAAGAAUGCGAU